rnacentral:rRNA from 1 species
ACAUGAAGCUGGAAUCGCUAGUAAUCGCGAAUCAGAAUGUCGCGGUGAAUACGUUCCCGGGUCUUGUACACACCGCCCGUCACACCAUGGGAGUCAGUAACGCCCGAAGUCAGUGACCCAACCAGAGAUGGAGGGAGCUGCCGAAGGCGGGACCGAUAACUGGGGUGAAGUCGUAACAAGGUACC